AACACCUCUCAGUCUGCUGGCUAGGAUCAAAUGUAGUAUGUUUUUCCCAGCUUAACAUCUGAUACAUCCUCUGUCUGAGGACAAUAUGGGUUUCUGGAGCAGUGGGAUGGAUGAAAAAGAAGCUUGCUCCAUCCGCUCCUAUGCAUCAACCUGGUAUUGCAGAACCUCCAGGAACUGUACAUCACCA
ensembl:snRNA U2 U2 spliceosomal RNA